GACGAACGCUGGCGGCGUGCCUAAUACAUGCAAGUAGAACGCUGAAGGAGGAGCUUGCUCUUUCCGGAUGAGUUGCGAACGGGUGAGUAACGCGUAGGUAACCUGCCUGGUAGCGGGGGAUAACUAUUGGAAACGAUAGCUAAUACCGCAUAAUAGUAGAUAUCGCAUGAUAACUGCUUAAAAGGUGCAAUUGCAUCACUACCAGAUGGACCUGCGUUGUAUUAGCUAGUUGGUGAGGUAACGGCUCACCAAGGCCACGAUACAUAGCCGACCUGAGAGGGUGAUCGGCCACACUGGGACUGAGACACGGCCCAGACUCCUACGGGAGGCAGCAGUAGGGAAUCUUCGGCAAAUGGACGGAAGUCUGACCGAGCAACGCCGCGUGAGUGAAGAAGGUUUUCGGAUCGUAAAGCUCUGUUGUAAGAGAAGAACGAGUGUGAGAGUGGAAAGUUCACACUGUGACGGUAUCUUACCAGAAAGGGACGGCUAACUACG
rnacentral:rRNA from 1 species